rnacentral:piRNA from 1 species
CUGGACAGGAACUAGAGAACAAUU